rnacentral:rRNA from 1 species
AACCAGGUGCUCCUCACGCUGCUCCCGAAGCGCGCGGAUGCCGGGUGCCUCGGUGACUACAGACCCAUAAGCCUCAUCCACCUCGUCGCCAAGGUCUUCGCCAAGGUCCUCUCGCUCCGACUUGCGCCCAAGCUUAACGCUCUCGUCAGCACCAGCCAAAACACGUUCAUCCCGGGAAGAAGCCUACACGACAACUUCGUCCUCGUGCGGCAGUCAGCGCGCCUGCUACAUCAACUAGGCGCGCCACGCGUUCUGCUCAAGCUGGACCUAACUCGCGCUUUCGACUCGAUCAGCUGGCCAUUCCUCUUCGACGUCCUGCGCUGCUAUGGGUUUGGCACCAGAUUCCUGGGCUGGCUUGCGAUCUUGCUCUCGUCGGCCAGCACCAAGGUGAUCAUGAACGGCGAGCCAGGCCCACCCAUUUAG